GAAUUGAAUUGUCUUUGCUGUGUCUCGAGAGAUACACUCGUAAAGAAAAACAGUGAGACUGUGUUUGUAGCAGAAAGUUGCAGCAAAUCUUUCUCUCUCUCUGUGUGUGCGCCACCAUGGACGACCCACCGUUGCAAAAGAUCGCCAUUUCGGGGCCAACAUUAGCCUCUCUCAUCCAACGCUUCUCCACCGCGUCCUCCGCCGUUGACGGCCUCCUCUUCGGCCACGUCACCCACGUGACCCCCCUCACCCUCUCCGACGACACAUCCACCGGCAACGCCGCCACCACCACCACCACCCUCCUCCUCGCCACCAUCACCGGCUUCCUCUGCUCCCCCUCCUUCUACGACUCCUCCGGCACUGUCCUCCCCUCCUCCCUCGGCCACGACUCCUCCCUCCUCGGUUGGUUCUCCGCUCGGCCUCGCACCCCUCUCCGGCCCUCCAUGCGCGAAUUCUCCAUCACUUCUUCUCUCUCCUCUCUCUCCCAAUUCUCUUCCCAAAUCCAAAACUCACCCCAACCCUCUCUUUUCACUCCUUCACUCUUCCUUCUCCUCGCUUCACCCCCUUUCGAACAUUCCCCUCACGUGCCCUCUCACGUGCACACUCACGAGUACCGCGCUUACCACUUCCGAAUCGGGGCUCAAUCCUUCGAGCCCAAGUCGCUCGACGUUGUCAACAUUGGGCCCGCGUUUCGCGGCCACUAUGGCUCAUUCAGCCCUAAUUCGCCGUUCCCUGCUCUCGAUUGUGAGCUUCAGGGAUCGCCGAUGGUUGAUGAUAGUGGUGAUGUGAGGUUGAGCCGCAUGAAGCAGGCGUCCAAGGAUCAGAGAGAGCUUGAUGGGUGUGUCGAGGGUUUUGAAGUUGGAAGGUUGAGUAGAAUGAUGGGUUAUGAGGCUAGGAAUUAUACUGAGGGUUUGGAGGAUUUGUACCAGAAAAUGCUUGUUAAGAUUGGGAAUUUGACUAGCUUGGUGGAGAAGAGUUCUGCUAAGGUUCUCGAGCAGGUGAUGAUACUAUAGUUGUUCUAGUUGUUAAUGUUGAACAAUUAUAUGUUAAUUAUGUAACGGGGUGAUCGUGGUCAGAAUGUUGUUGUAGUAGUGGUAGUAGACCAGUAACUAGUUGUUGUUGAUGUUGAACAGUUAUACGUUAUAUAACAUGAUGUUAUGAUUACUUUGUUGUAGUAGUAGUAGUAGCAGUGGUACUAGUAGUAGCAUGGUAGUGGUUGUUAUUGAUAAUGAGUUAAUGUUGAACAAUUGCAUAUUAGAUUACAUGAUGGUUGGUAUCAGAAUGUAGUGGUUGUUAAAAUGUGGGGGAAUGGGAAUAGUAAUUGAUUGAAAGUACUAUUGGUUUUAUUUUGGAAUAUUCUGUUACCAACUUGUAGGUUUUGUUCUCGCCAAUUUAACAUGCGAAGUUCAGUCACUUUACAUUCGAGUGUCAUCUUGAUGAAACGUACUUAUACAAUAUUGUCAUGCAACCUGAACAUUUGCAAUUCUUCAGUGGUGUUGAUGAACAAUUUCUUGUUCAACAAAAAUCACCAUGAAUGAAUGUCACUCACUAUCUGGAGGGAAUUAGUUUGCUUGUUUUCUUUAACUGUGAUGAGGGUUGAGAAUUUGUAAUUUGGAAUUUUUUGUGCGCUUUAUAGAAAGUUAUUUAACUCUAUGCAGUGGCUAAUUCAUGUUUGAUUUUUCUUUUAUCAACUUUGAACAGGAAAAUCAUAAUAGGAAGUUGAAACACAAAAUUUCAAGAUCUGCUGCCUCGGAAUAACUAUAUCAGGGCUGAUGAUCGUUUUUUUUUUUGUUGAGUCCUGUGUCCAGGUGCUUGCAGCACCUUUUAUGUAACCGACAAUCAAUCAAAAGUCAUCUUGCGUUCGUACAAACGUGAUACGAAGAAAGAAACGCUGUUCACUCGUGCUUUACAAAGUUACUGAAUGUCUAGAUACGCAUUAAAUAAAUGUGCGCUUGAUCAGCAGAAGUUAUGUGUGUAGUGUUAGGGAAAACAAUGCACGUUUGAUGUAUGUGAAUGAGCAGUCAAACAUGCCCUCAGUGUGUAUUAAAGAGUUUAAAGUCAUGUGAUUUAAGUUUUUUUUUUUAAACUU